AUUGAACGCUGGCGGCAGGCCUAACACAUGCAAGUCGAACGGUAACAGGAAGCAGCUUGCUGCUUCGCUGACGAGUGGCGGACGGGUGAGUAAUGUCUGGGAAACUGCCUGAUGGAGGGGGAUAACUACUGGAAACGGUAGCUAAUACCGCAUAACGUCGCAAGACCAAAGAGGGGGACCUUAGGGCCUCUUGCCAUCGGAUGUGCCCAGAUGGGAUUAGCUAGUAGGUGGGGUAACGGCUCACCUAGGCGACGAUCCCUAGCUGGUCUGAGAGGAUGACCAGCCACACUGGAACUGGGACACGGUCCAGACUCCUACGGGAGGCAGCAGUGGGGAAUAUUGCACAAUGGGCGCAAGCCUGAUGCAGCCAUGCCGCGUGUAUGAAGAAGGCCUUCGGGUUGUAAAGUACUUUUAGCGGGGAGGAAGGGAGUAAAGUUAAUACCUUUGCUCAUUGACGUUACCCGCAGAAGAAGCACCGGCUAACUCCGUG
rnacentral:rRNA from 1 species